GACGAACGCUGGCGGCGUGCUUAACACAUGCAGGUCGAACGAUGAACCCGGAGCUUGCUCCGGUGGAUUAGUGGCGAAAGGGUGAGUAACACGUGAGUAACCUGCCCUUGACUCCGGGAUAACUACGGGAAACUGUAGCUAAUACCGGAUACGCGCCUCGGAGGCCUCUCUUGGGGCUGGAAAGAACUUCGGUGAAGGGGGGACUGGCGGCCUAUCAGCUAGGUGGUGAGGUAAGGGCCCACCAAGGCGACGCAGGGUAGCCGGCGUGAGAGGGUGACCGGCCACACUGGGACUGAGACCCGGCCCAGACUCCUACGGGAGGCAGCAGUGGGGAAUAUAGCACAAUGGGCGCAAGCCUGAUGCCGCAACGCCGCGUGAGGGAUGACGGCCUUCGGGUUGUAAACCUCUUUUAGUAGGGAAGAAGCGAAAGUGACGGUACCUGCAGAAAAAGCACCGGCUAACUACGUGCCAGCCGCCGCGGUAA
rnacentral:rRNA from 1 species